UUCAGUUCAGUUCAGUCGUUCGGUCGUGUCUGACUCUUUGCGAUCCCAUGGCCUGCAGCUAACACUGACAGUGUUUAAAUUGGGAAUUUAGUGACUCAGGAAUGUACAGUCUUCCCCCCUACUGAAAUAAAAGUUAGUUAUAUUUUUAACCUGUGGAAAUUUUCCAUGUGGUUUUCAGGAACAAAAUAUCUACACACAAUGGUGGAAGAGUCUGAUGUUGGUGUUAGAAGUGGUGGGCUAGGGGGUCUGGCUGGCAGCCAUGUGGGACAGACCUAGCUGGGGCUUUGCCUGGACACCAAGGCUGAGAGCAGGAGAGAAGUCUGACCUCCUCACUCACCUCCCCAUCACCAGGACCCAUCACCCCUGGGAGCUGAGUUCUCAGCUCACUCCAUUGAAAACUCCCACCUAAAGUCACCCCCUGGGCUUCUUGUCUGAGCUUCCCAGAUAGGUGACUUAUUGAGGUCAUUGUACUCCUCAGUCCUCCGUCUUCUGGGCAUGACACAUAAUUCUACUUCUAUACAUACUUGUUAAUUGAAGAUACAUGAAAUAGAAUUCUGAGCUCUUCAAUAUUAAAAAAAUUUUCUCAAAAGAAUUAUAUGGAUCUUACGAAAUCAGGUUCAUUUGUAGAACACAUAACACAAAAUUGUGAGAAUCAAGACUAGUAGUAAGAGGAAAGGGAAGCAGGGAAUCUCCCAUAGGUUUUCCAUUUGGUGAUAUUUGAGAAUUUGGAAACUCAGGGGUGAAAGCCACUUCACUUUGGCUUGAUAAAAUUUCUCUUGAAAUUCUAGACACAGAAAAAAAAGUCCUCCUGCUUUUCAAAAACCCAAGAUGGGUUAUACAAGGUGGGAAACUGUGUGUUUUGAUUGAUUUUUAAAGAUCAAGGUGAAUGUGGCCUCUUUCCACUGAGCUGUUGACUUUAUAUUAUAAAGCUUUACAGAUUUCUUGGGUUAAAUAAACCAUCAGGUUUCAAGGGAUGCUGCUUGGAGAGGCACUGCAUGGUAAUGAAUGUUGCUCAGGUUAUUUUCUGGAUCAAAAACAAGGAUGCUGUGAUGGGCUUGAAUUGGCUUUUGCCUUUUGACUGCUAAGAUGCCACUCACUAAUCCCAUGGGUAGGGAGCAGUCCUGCCUGGUUAAGCCUUAGGAGAAAGAUGAAUGCUUUAUCUACUUAAACAUCAAACCAGGAAACAAAGUGGUUGCAAAAUAUGUAUAGUUCACAUUUAAUACAAUGCAAAAAUCUCUAAUGGCUUCUGGGUUAUUUUGUAACCAUAAUUUACUUGAUGAGGUUCAAAUCUAAGCUUCUCUCAUCUUGUCUGAGUUUUUGGUCAUGAUUUUAAAUUAUUUCCAUCCUAAGAUUAAGGGUAUAACCAAGAUAUUCUAGAAGUGCUUUUUCUUUUUAAAAUUUAAUUUUUUAAUAGCAUACCACCUGUAGUAUAAAAUAUAGCAAAAAGUAAUCCUCCUCCUUUUUUUUGGUCCUUCUGUGAUUCAGAGUUCACCUCCCUAGGAGUAAAUCCUUUUUGUAAGUAUUUUUCAAUCUAAUAUUUGUUUUACUUUUGGAAAAUAUGAAUGAGUCACUAGCAUGGUUAAAACCAAAUACAAAUAGAAAAACAAUUAGUUUUCUUUGGGGUUUAACAGGUACAUUUAUCAGCUUAUGGUCACUUGCUCAGUUGUGUCUGACUCUUUGCAACCCUGUGGACUGCAGCUCACCAGAUUCCUCUGUCUACGGGAUUUUCCCAGCAAGAAUACUGGAGUGGGUUGCCAUUUGUUUCUGCAGCUAUUUUAGCUAAAAUAUAAUGGAUUACAGAGAAAAUACUAUAUUUCCUUAAUACCAUAUGGUCAAAUUUAAUAACAUCCAUCAAGCAUAUUAAAAGAAAAGACCUUCUGUUAAUUUACCCUGUUUUGCACAUGUUAGAAUAAUAUCCUAUCUUAGUAAGAAGAAUAUUCUGAGCAUCCUUAAAUUUGGGGGACAAAAAUGUGAUAUCCAGAGUAUAUAAAAAACUCUUGUAGUACAACAGUAAAAAGACAACUCAAUUAAAAAUGGUCAUAGGAUAUGAAUAGACAUUUCUCCAAAGAUAUACAAAUGGCCAAUAAAUGCAUGUCAAGAUGCUCAACAUUAUUAGUCAUUAGGAAAAUGCAAAUCAAAAGCACAAGAGAUACCACCACUUCACAGCUACUAGGAUGGCUAUAAUAAAAAAGACAGAUGAUAUGGAAAAACUGGAGCCCUCCUACAUUGCUGAUAGGCAUGUAAAAUGAUGAAGCUAGUUUGGAAAACAUUUUGGUGAAUCUUCAAAACCAUACAACUCAGCAAUUCCACUCCUUGGUAUAUAUGUAAGGAAAAUGGAAAAAUACAUGCCUACGCAAAGAAUUGCACAUGAACACACACAGCAGCAUUACUCAUAAUAGCCAACAAGUGGAAAUAACCCAAAAGUCCACCAGUUGAUGAAUGGAUAAGUAAUUCAUACAAUGGAAUAUUACUUGGCAGUAAAUAUAGUAAAAGUAUUAUCUAUGCAGCAAUAUAGGUGGACCUUGGUAAGUGAAAAAAUGCUGGUCAUAAAGGAACUCAUAUAGAAUGGUGGAGAGAUGCUAUACUGCAGGCUGGGGAAGCUGGGGACCAUCUGCAGAGUCUCAGGGCUAGCGCUGCUGAUGCAGGAGCAGAGGUAAGGGGACCUCUAUCCUGGAGGAAGGUCUGCCUAGAAAAUGCAAACUGCUGGCCCACGGACCCAAGCUGGCUGGGAGAAGUAUGUUUUGGGCCCAAAGAGAUUUUUUAAAAAUUUUGAAUGAUUGCUAAAUUAAGUAACAGGAAAUUCCUACAAAAUCCAGUCUUCCACAGAUUCUAAUGAGAAAUGAGAUGGGCAGGCAACUCCAAGCCCACAUUUGUGAGUAGCGAUGAGGCUGAGGCAUGUCCUCUCCAUUGUUCCAGCAUCCCUACUGCUGUCUUCUGCGUCACACACCGGGCCUGUUCUCGCCAUUGGCAUCAUCUCUGCCUGGUCCCUCUGUGUGUAUGUCAGCCCAACAUCCUUACUGCACUGUAUGAAGAAGCUGAGGCUUGAGAGGCAUAGAAACUUGCUCAAGGUCACACUAGAGUCGAAUAGAGCUAGAAUAUGAACUUUGUUUUCCAAUUAAACACCUUUUCUAUGGUCACCCCUGAUUAAAUUUUAGAAAUUUGCCAGUGCAGAAAUUGAGGGAGCUGAGACCAGUGUGCCUAGGAGCUUGAGGAUCAUCCCAUAAGCCAGCAAAAACAAAUGCGGAUUUGAUGCUUGAUGUGAGCUGUGGAGAUCUUUUGUUUGAGAAGAGUUAUGGCCAGAGAGGUUUGAGGAAAAAAGAGGAGGAAGGGAUUAGGACUUGGAUACACAGAGGAAAGACCAUGUGAAGAGGAAGAAGACGGCCAUCUGCAAGCCAAGGAGAGCCACCUCAGAGAAAACCAACCUGAUUGACACCUUGAUCUUGGACCUCUAGCCUCCAGAACUGUGAGAAAAUAAAUUUCUGUUGUUUAA